rnacentral:tRNA from 1 species
GGACGAUUACGACUGGCAUCGUUGCCCUCCGAAGGCAAAGGUCACACGUUCGAAUCGUGUCGGGUGCGCCA